GUCUCUCUGGGGACAUCGGAUAAAAUUUAAACGCUACAGAGAAGAUUAGUGUGGCUCUUGUGCAAGGAUGACACUCAUAAAUGGAGAAAAUAAGUAUUAUUCU